rnacentral:lncRNA from 1 species
UUUAUCGUCCCUAAACUGCAUUUGAAACAACGUCGUGGUGUUGUUGUCUUUCCCUCUCCGACAAAGCCUUGAUGAUGAUGAUCAACAACAUCAGGAAGGCUGAUUCUGAGCUCGAGGUUCAAAUCUGGAAAGUUCUCUUCAACUGGACACUCGUCUUUUUCUUCUUUGAACGUAACCAUUGAGAUUUUCUCUUGUUUUCCAGGAAAACUUGUGCUUUCCUGGAAUAUUUCCAUCUUCGGAGUAGAAGAGGAAGAGGCGAAGGAGAUAUUAAUGGUGUUACUUGUGAUUGCUUCUAGGUGUGUCGGUUUAGAAUCCUGAGAAGCUGACGAUUCUUGGAUUGGUCUAUGAGUU